UGAUGGGAGUGGGACCAUCGAUGUGAAGGAGCUGAAGGUGGCCAUGAGAGCACUCGGCUUUGAACCCAGGAAGGAAGAGAUGAAGAAAAUGAUUUCAGAAGUGGACAAAGAGGCCACAGGAAAGAUCAGUUUCAAUGACUUCUUGGCUGUGAUGACUCAGAAGAUGGCCGAGAAAGAUACCAAAGAGGAAAUCCUGAAGGCUUUCAGGUUGUUUGAUGAUGAUGAAACAGGGAAAAUUUCAUUCAAAAAUCUCAAGCGCGUGGCCAACGAGUUGGGGGAAAGCCUCACAGACGAGGAGCUGCAGGAAAUGAUCGAUGAAGCUGAUCGUGAUGGUGAUGGAGAAGUGAACGAAGAAGAGUUUCUUAAGAUCAUGAAAAAGACCAACCUUUAUUAAGUGACUGGCUGGGGUCCCUGCUUCUGUUUUUGUGAAAGUAUAACAGAGCAGCUGUGGUCUGUUCCUUCUUCCUGCCUCCUGUGCUUGAUUAGCUUCUAAGCCUCCAGAUCAAUUAUAAAUUUUGAAGAUACUUA
rnacentral:lncRNA from 1 species